rnacentral:rRNA from 1 species
UGGGGAAUAUUGCACAAUGGGGGAAACCCUGAUGCAGCAACGCCGCGUGAGUGAUGACGGCCUUCGGGUUGUAAAGCUCUGUCUUCAGGGACGAUAAUGACGGUACCUGAGGAGGAAGCCACGGCUAACUACGUGCCAGCAGCCGCGGUAAUACGUAGGUGGCAAGCGUUGUCCGGAUUUACUGGGCGUAAAGGGAGCGUAGGCGGACUUUUAAGUGAGAUGUGAAAUACCCGGGCUCAACCUGGGUGCUGCAUUUCAAGCUGGAAGUCUAGAGUGCAGGAGAGGAGAGUGGAAUUCCUAGUGUAGCGGUGAAAUGCGUAGAGAUUAGGAAGAACACCAGUGGCGAAGGCGACUCUCUGGACUGUAACUGACGCUGAGGCUCGAAAGCGUGGGGAGCAAACA